rnacentral:tRNA from 1 species
GCCGGAGUGGCGGAAUUGGCAGACGCACGGGACUUAAAAUCCUGGGCUCCGAAAGGAGCGUGGGGGUUCGAUUCCCCCCUCCGGCA